GCCCGACGGAAGACAGCUGUGCGCGCCGCUUCCUCCCUCUCGGACCUGGGCAGCCUGCCGCAGACCGGACCGCGACCGCGGGGCGCAGCUCGGCCCGGGAGCGUUCGAGUCCCGCCGCCAGAGCAUCCUCCCGGCCCGGCGCACAGGUGGUGUAGCCAUAAACAGGAAAGAGCCUGGAUCCCAGCUUGGAAGGGAACAGCCUUGAAAAGUUGGCUGACCUAAAGACUUUAUCACUCUACUGAACAGGACCCAAGAAGAUGCCAUACUGAUACUGUCCUGUGUGGCCAAAAAAUCCACAGAAAAUACUCUUGCAUCAUUUUCCCUGAUAAUCUCUGGAAUAAAAGCUGGUCCCAAUGUGGCAGUGCUCUCAAGGCUCUGAUUCCCUAAACUGCCGAGACCAGCUCAGCAGGAUGGGGCUGAAGAACAGAUGCCAGCUCUCUCCUUGAUAUCUUCUGACUGCAGACUGCAGACAGUAAAAUACCUCCAAGGGGUAUCCUGGAAGAGCCCUCACUAGAAUUGAGCCUUAGAGGCUACGUGUCAAAGUUGGAAGAAGCCUGGCCCCUGAAUCAGUGCUCGGCAGAGAGCCUACUUCAGAGGAAGGAGAUUUGGAGACAAGUGAGGAACGUCUGUAUUCCUGUAUCGCAGGUGGAAUGAAGCUCAGCAGCCUUCUAGCUGUUACUGCCCUUUCACAUAGGAGCAAAGUAAAGCCUGGAAUGACUGAAUGACUUGACUAGCUUGACAUAGCAGAGACCCUGGGCCUACUGAUCUUUUUUCUAUGCAAGAGCAGAUACAUCCCCGCCAAGCCAAUCCUGGUGAGACCUGGACUGAGGAAGGGGAAAGUUGCUGAAAGCUUGCUGGUCAAAGACAUGGGCUUGCACAGCACCUGCCACAGGAAAGGCAGUGUUUCUCAAGCUUUCCUGCACAUAAGGAGGACCUUUAAAAAAUGUCGUGGCAGGAAGAGAAAAGAAUGAAGAUUCACAGUGGAGACCAUGAGGCAAUAAUUCCACUUUACUCCAUCUAAUUUCUUUGGCUGAAUCUCAUGCUGAACUCUAAAUCCUGGUGAUCUGUAAGGAGACCCAGUGACCCUCAAGGCGACAAACAUGUAAGAGUUCAAAACAACAGAACCUUUUAUCUGAGAAAAAUGGAAAUCAUUCCAAAUGCUUGAAGGGGCAUGUAGUGGUUUCCAAACUCCAGUGUGCCUGAGACGCUCACUGGAAACUUGCUCAACUUAUCUAUGUAAGUAAUUCUAAAUCAGCUGGUUUGGACUGAAGCCUGCAGAUCUGCAUUUUUAACAAGCACUCUGGAAAUAUCCUCUGAUUGAGAAAUGCUGAACUCGGAGCAAGACCUUAGAGCUUGAUUGCAUUAUAUGAUGGGGACAUUGCAAAAGGGAAUUCGUGAGAGGCAAGAACGCCACUUGUCUGAUUAAAGAACAGGAUUCAUAACAGAGAGAAGAGGCGUGAGAUGGGUAUCAUAUAUAACUUGGAGAAUGGUAUGGUGGUCACACACAUACAAUGCAAGCAUCCAUGGGCGAGCCGGAACUUGGAGACUGCAUGUUUCUACCGUCUACGUGAGCCGCUGGGAGCCCAGCAUGGGAUAAUUGACUGUCCUUGGAAAGUGACCAGCUCAGGUCCCCCUCAGUCCUCUGAAGAUAAGACAGGGGAAGCGAUGACAAGAGGGGAGAGGCUGAGAAAUUGCAUUCCCAGGACCAUCAGGGGGGAUCAGCAGCAUGGCCCGGGAAUGUUGUUUCUUGCAGGAAAGACAUGGCAUUAUCUCAGAACCAUCUGGUGGCAGCAGGAACGGGGAGGGGGAGGGAGGCGCUGAGCAGUGGUCACGUAGCCUUGUCUUACUGUUUGCAGACGCCCACGAUCAAGCUAUUUCCUGACAGAAGUGGGUCAGCUAAUAGCCUGGGCUCAGGAAAAAGGGAGCUUCAAGGAAUGAGAGAGAUGGUUGCAGAGGCUGGAGGAUUCCUGUAGCCGAAAAAGUUAGAGACCGAUGCGAAGCUUUUUGUCACAUGGACAAAAUCCCUAGACUUGGGGACAGGGGACGGCGCCCUUGAUCUUUCAGUGUAAGAUCGUUUUGGAUUCAGGCAAGCUAAUUUGCUCAGAGCCUCAGUGUAAAAUGGCAUUUGUGGACUCCUGGGUUUAAUCUGGCCUGUAUGUGACUCUUAGCCCCCGUUAGUGAUUACAGAAUUGUUGGGUUUGGGGCCACCUCUACAACGUCAAGCUAUUUCACAUAGAAUGCAGGUUUCUGGCUCAUCUAACAAUGGAAAAUCUGGCCACUCUGGGCCCAUAUUCUCACAGAGCAACAUUUGCCUGGAGUUGAGUGGCCACUGCCCCCGGAAAUAAGGGAUUAACUCUCCACUCCCCAGUGUUCCCCACACGACCCCUUCCCUCAAAGCCCCCACAGGCAUUUGUUUCAUGACCCCUGCCCUAGAAGGCAGUAUCAAUGAUGGCAGGGAGUGUGAGCAUGUGUCCCCAGUGGACCUCUGUCCCCAGCACAUGUCUGCAAGGACUGGGCACUGCGCAGGCAUUGAAUAAAUAUUUCUUUAAUAACAGCCAGUGAGUGAAGACAGGGCUGUCAAAGCAAAGCAGGUUAAAUCCAGGCUGUGUGCGUUUGGGUAAAUAAUUGAACUUUCUAAGCCUCUGUUUUCCUUAUUUAUGAAUCAGGGAGCAGAGUACUGACCUCAUGGCACACUCUGAGUGAAGGAAUGCAAACCCCUUUGUGUGGCGCUGCCCAGAGAGAACACCCAAUAAAUAUUUGUUGAAUGGCUGAAACCAUGUUCAGUCUACAGGGUUGUGAGCCUUGGUAUCCUUGGUUGGAUAAAGUGGAAAAAAUCAUCGCAUUAAUUAAGUAUGGGAAUCGCAAUGUGCCAGAAAGGGAACACAAAUGGGCACCCAAAGAGUGGUUGUCACGGGGGUGAGAUUGCUGGGCAGGGAAGGAUAACUUAUGCUUCUGUGUCAGCAUUGACCAUCAGAGCAACAGCAUGAAGUGCAGCACUAGGGCGGGAGUGGCUGGUUGAAUUCCGGGGAUAGAGCUGGGGGCUAUGAGGACAGGCUUCGGAGGGGUGUAAUGUGUGCCAGGCCCUUGGCCAGGCUACUAAAUGCUUUUGAGACCUCUGUCUCCUCCAUUAGAAAAUGAAGAUCAUAAUGCCCACUUUUGGGGGUUUGGUCUGAUUAGUUAAUAUGAAAAUCAACAUCAUGUGCUUAACAUGUUGGUGAGCAGACAGAGGAGCACAGGAGAUGCUUAGCAAAUAAUACAGGUAUUGGUAUGAGAGGGAAAGUACUGCUUAGAAGUUCACAGUCCUGAGUGCUGUUCUUUUUUUUUUUAUUGAAGUAUAGUUAAUUUACAACAUUGAGUUAGUUUCCAGUGUACAGAAAAGUGAUUCAGUUACACACACGUAUAAAUUUAUAUAUUCUUUUUCAUAUUUUUCUAUUACAUAUUUAUUACAAAUAUGAACUACAUUGAAUGUAGUUCCCUGUGCUAUGCGGUAAGAUGUUAUUUAUCUAUUUUAUGUAUGGUAGUGUGUAUAUUUGUAUAUUACAAAUUCCUAAUUUAUCUCUCCCCCCUUCUUUUCCUUUGGUAACCAUAAGGUUGUUUCCUAUGUCUUUAUGUUUCUGUUUUAUACAUAAGUUCAUUUAUAGGAUUUCUUAGUUCAUAUACGUGAUACAUAUAAAUGACAUCAUAUGAUAUUUGUCUUUCUCUUUCUGACUUAUUUCACUUAGUAUUAUAAUUUUUAGGUCCAUUCAUGUUGCUGCAAAUAACAUUAUUUCAUUCUUUUUUAUGGCUGCAUGGUAUUCCAUCAUGUGUAUAUAUACCAUAUAUAAAUAUACAUAAAUUUUAAAAAAAGAUAUACAUAUACCACAUCUUAUUCUUUUAUUUAAAUUUUUUUAUAGCCACACCUGUAGCAUAUGGAAGUUCCCAGGCUAGGGGUCAAAUCAGAGCUAUAGCUGCUGGCCUAUUCGACAGCUGCAGCAAUGCUGGAUCUGAGCCACACUGAACAAGGCCAGGAAUCAAACCUGCAUCUUCAUGGAUACUAGUCAGGUUCCUUUCCACUGAGCCACAGAGGGAAAUUCUAUACCACAUCUUCUUCAUCUGUUCAUCUGUUGAUGGACAUUUAAGUUGCCUCCAUGUUUUGGCUACUAUAAAUAGUACAGCUACAAACAAUGGGACAUGUAUCUUCUCUAACUAGGUCUUUCAUCUUUUCUAGAUAUAUGCCCAGGAGUGGGAUUGCAGAAUGAUAUGGCAACUCUAUUUUUAGUUUUUUAAGGAAAUUCCAUAGUGGCUGCACCAGUUACCUUCCCACCAAGAGUGUAGGAAGGUUCCCCUUUGUCCACCCCUCUCCAGCAUUUAUUUGUAGAAUUUUUAUUUUCUUGUCUUUUUUUAGGGCUGCACCUAUGGCAUAUGGAGGUUCCCAGGCUAGGGGUCUAGUUGGAGCUGUAGCUGCCUGCCUAUGCCACCGCCACAGCAACGCCAGAUCCAAUCUGCACCUGCUACCUACACCACACAACUCAUGGCAACACCAGAUCCUUAACCCACUGAGUGAGGCCAGGGGUUGAACCUACAACCUCAUGGUUCCUAGUCAAAUUCGUUUCUGCUGCACCAUGAUGGAAACUCCUAGAAUUUUUAAUGAUGUCAUUUUGACCAUGUGAUACCUUGUUGUAAUUUUGAUUUGUAUUUUUCUAAUAAUUAUGAUGUGGAGCAUCUUUGCAUGUGCUUAUUGGCCAUCUGCAUGUCUCUUUUUGAGAAAUGGCUAUUUAGGUCUGCCCAUUUUUUGAUUGGGUUGUUUCUUUUGUUUGUUGGUUGGUUUGUUAUUGAGUGUCACUGAGCUAUUUGAGCUGUUUAUGUAUUUUGGAAAUGAAACCUUUGUCAGUCACAUGGUUUAUAAAUGUCUUCUCCCAGU
rnacentral:lncRNA from 1 species